GUCUCUGUAGCGCAGUAGAUUUCGCGUUGGACUUCUAAUCCAAAGGUCGUGGGUUCGAAUCCCGCCUGGGAUG
rnacentral:tRNA from 1 species